rnacentral:rRNA from 1 species
CGCGGGUAAACCGCGGAAGGUAACUAUGACCCUCUUAAGGUAGCCAAAUGCCUCGUCAUCUAAUUAGUGACCCGCAUGAAUGGAUUAACGAGAUUCCCUCUGUCCCUAUCUACUUUCUAGCGAAACCACAG